AGUGGUGGUUUUUUGUGGUGUGUCUGCUGCUUUUAGAUAAAGCAUAUUGCUCUACCUCUGGUAUUUGAGUACUCUUUUUUCCACCUGUUUCACAUUUAUGUGUUUACUCCGGUAUAUAUAUAUAUAUAUAUAUAUAUAUAUAUAUAUAUGUAUGU